AAUGAACGCUGGCGGCAUGCCUAACACAUGCAAGUCGAACGAGACCCUUCGGGGUCUAGUGGCGCACGGGUGCGUAACGCGUGGGAAUCUACCCUUGGGUUCGGAAUAACAGUUAGAAAUGACUGCUAAUACCGGAUGAUGACGUAAGUCCAAAGAUUUAUCGCCCAGGGAUGAGCCCGCGUAGGAUUAGGUAGUUGGUGUGGUAAAGGCGCACCAAGCCGACGAUCCUUAGCNGGUCUGAGAGGAUGAUCAGCCACACUGGGACUGAGACACGGCCCAGACUCCUACGGGAGGCAGCAGUGGGGAAUUUUGGGCAAUGGGCGAAGCCUGACCCAGCAACGCCGCGUGAGGGAGGAAAUCCUUCGGGAUGUAAACCUCGCAAGCAAGGGAAGAAUGCUUAAGACCUAACACGUCUUAAGAGGGACGGUACCUUGCGUAAGCCACGGCUAACUACGUGCCAGCAGCCGCAGU
rnacentral:rRNA from 1 species